UAACCAUGAUGGAGACACUGUCUUUGUAAAUCUUUAAACCUUUCCCAAGCUUCAUAUAAGGACUCGUCAUCCCUUUGGUAAAAAGUGGCGAUUUCGUUUCUCAAUUU